GGAUGGGCAGCUGGUUAGAACCGGUUCCCAGGCCGCGGGCAGUCGGAGAGAGAAGCAGUGCUGAGAGGAUCUGUUGACAUUGAUCCCAGUCUGAGAAUCUGCGCCUUCAGCUUACUGCCGCCCGUUCAACUCUCCGCCAAUAUGCCACGCAAAGCGGUUGUGACUACAAAACCUGAAGAACUAAGGAGAUCAUCACGAACUAAGCGUACUAUCCAAACAGCAGCUCCAACCAAGAAGGCACCAGCCAAGGUAAACCUUUUGCCACACCCUGGAAACUUUACGACUAUUG